UACGUAGGGGGCUAGCGUUGUCCGGAAUCAUUGGGCGUAAAGCGCGCGUAGGCGGCCCAGUAAGUCCGUUGUAAAAGUCAAAGGCUCAACCUUUGAAAGCCGAUGGAUACUGCUGGGCUAGAGUCCGGAAGAGGCGAGUGGAAUUCCUGGUGUAGCGGUGGAAUGCGCAGAUAUCAGGAGGAACACCCGUGGCGAAAGCGGCUCUCUGGGACGGUACUGACGCUGAGACGCGAAAGCGUGGGGAGCAAACAGG
rnacentral:rRNA from 1 species